rnacentral:rRNA from 1 species
UACGUAGGUGGCGAGCGUUGUCCGGAUUUACUGGGCGUAAAGAGCGCGCAGGCGGCCGAGCAAGUCGAGUGUGAAAGCCCCGAGCUUAACUUGGAAACUGCGCUCGAAACUACUUGGCUAGAGUGUGGCAGAGGGAGGUGGAAUUCCACGUGUAGCGGUGAAAUGCGUAGAGAUGUGGAGGAACACCGAUGGCGAAGGCAGCCUCCUGGGCCAACACUGACGCUCAUGCACGAAAGCGUGGGGAGCAAACAGG